UUUUUGUUUGUUUGUAGGGGUAAGAGGACUUCUUGUUUUACAAUGGCUUCCCUAAGAGAUACCUGGGCUUGUCAGCAAAGCAGCUAAUAAAACACUGGCCUAUUCUUUUUAUCUGAUUAUCACUUGAGAGGGGCUGGGAAGUAUCUUUUGAGGGAAAAGGUCUCUGGCACUGUAGGAUUUGGGUGUGAGCCACCACGCCCAGCCUAUUUGCAGUUUUUAAGAUGGAGAAAAAGGAAUCCUACACAAUGAAUUGGGUUUUCUUUGAUAAAUUAUCACUAAGCUGAGGGUUCUACAUUUGAUUGGUAAUGUGCCCAGAGUUGAUAUUUUAUUCUGCAUGUACUAAUUUUUUUCUGGUUUUUGGAGGUGUUCUCUAACCAAAACUGAACACUUUCUGGUAGCUAAAAACUGGUGUCUCUUUCCAGCUUCAUAUUUUUAUAAGGCUGAUAAUGCUGUCCACUGAACAGGACUAUUUCUUGGUAGGACAUAGAGAUGGUCACUGUUCUCAUUGUAGUUCCCGUGCAAGAAAAUGGAGACAUCAUGGGAUAGGGUGUUGUCAUUGUAGGUUUAAGAAUUGUCAUUCUGGCCGGGCGUGGUGGCUCAUGCCUGUAAUCCCAGCACUUUGGGAGGCUGAGGCUGGUAGAUCACCUGAGGUCAGGAGUUUGAGACUAACCUUGCCAACAUGGUAAAACCUCAUCUCUAUUAAAAAAAAAAAAAAAAAACACAAAAAUCAGCUGGGCAUGGUGGCACGCACCUGUAAUCCCAGCUACUCGGGAGGCUGAGGCAGGACAAUCACUUGAAUCUGGGAGGUGGAGGCUGUGGUGAGCCGAGAUCACGCCACUGUACCCCAGCCUGGUGACAAAGCGAGACUCUGUCUCAAAAAAAAAAAUAAAAUAGGCCGGGUGCGGUGGCUCACACCUGUAACCCCAGCACUUUGGGAGGCCGAGGCAGGCGGAUCACGUCAGGAGAUCAAGAGCAUCCUGGCUAACACAGUGAAACCCCGUCUCUACUAAAAAUACAAAAAAUUAGCUGGGCAUGGUGGCGGGCGCCUGUAGUCCCAGCUACUCGGGAGGCUGAGGCAGGAAAAUGGUGUGAACCCGGGAGGCGCAGGUUGCAGUGAGCCGAGAUCGCGUCACUGCACUCCAACCUGGGUGACAGAGUGAGACUCCAUCUCAAAAAAAAAAAAAAAUAAUAGUAAUUGUCAUUUCAUGUUUAUUUGUCUGUUCUCCCUGAUUACUGGGGGUGUGUUAAUGGAAGGGCAUGUUAUCCUCCCCCAUUUGUUUAGACUGAGGAAGGAUAGUAGGGAGCAUUGUGAGCUAUAAAGACAGUUUCUCUUUGGUUGAGCAAUGGUGUGUUGGUGAUUACAGGUCGUCAUUAUAAAUAAAAUGAAUUUUGUUUUCAAGAGACAGGGUCUAGCUGUGUUGCCCAAGCUGGUCUCGAAUUCCUGGGCUUAAGUGAUCCACCCACCUAGGCCUCCCAAAAUGCUGGGAUUACAGGCAUGUGCCACUGUGCCCGGCCACCUUACGUUUAAAGAGGAGAAAUUCAUGGUCCUUUCAAAGUUACUGAAGUUUAACAAUGAACAAAUUGGAUUUCUCAUAACACUUUUGGAAUGUACAUUUUGGGAUAUAUAGAUAUAUAUGGAAUGUACAUAUUUAGCUUUAACUUUUCAAAAUGCUUAAAAAUUCAAGUUUAAUGGUAUGCCCUUUUUUUUUUAAGUGGAAAUUGAUGACUUGAAAAAAAUUACCAAUUCACUGACUGUGCUUUGCAGUGAAAAACAGAAGCAAGAAAAGGUAAGAGCAAGCUGUGUAGGGAAAUGGGUAUUAAAUUAGAGUGGGGUUAUAGGUCUAACAGUCAACAAAUAUAAUAGGAGCCUGUCCUAAUUAAAAGUCAAGCAACUCACUAAUACCAUUUAAGUUAGACUAGAAGAGGAGUAUGGGUGCUAUUACUGUCCUUUUGUUUCCAGACAUGUUCCCCUUUUCUGAGUUAAUAGAAAUUGCUGAAAUCACAGACUGGGUUCAAAUACUAGCACUGCUACUUAAUAGGUAUAGGUAAAUCAGCUUUUCUAAGCUUCAGUCUUCUCCCUUCUAAAAUAGGAACAAUAAUACUCACUUUGCAGAGUAUUUAUAAGAGUAAAGUAAGAGAAGUAUGUCAAGUAAAGGUUAGAGCUUUGUGAUUUUAAAUUGGGGGGUACUUAUCCACACUUUUCUAAAUUUGCUUCAGUGAAGUUAAGGCUGUCUACCAAUAACUUAUAACCCCUGCUGGUGGGCUAGGUAUCCAGAGCAGGACCAAGGACCCAGAUCAAGUUUUGGAGAGACUGACUCUGGGAGACCUGUUCAGGUCCAAAACAUGUAGGCUCGGAUGUCCCUUACAGAACUAGUGUUUCUGGGACCAAAGGUUUUUGUGUGUUUGUUUAUGAGGGUUGCUGUACCAGAUAAGAUGCCCAUAGCACACUAAGGUUCAUGAAUUAACUCUCUUUCAUCUUUAGCAAAGCAAAGCCAAAAAGAAGAAGAAAGGUGUGGUUCCUGGAGGGGGAUUAAAAGCCACCAUGAAAGAUGAUCUGGCAGAUUAUGGUGGUUAUGAUGGAGGAUAUGUACAAGACUAUGAAGACUUCAUGUGACAUUUUAUCUUUUCUUGGUGUCAUCUUUAUGUUGCCCACAAUCCCUUGAACAUGUAGCACAACUUCCUUUCCUUUCAGUUCUGCCAAAUGCUACAAUCAGAAGUGCAGUAUCUUUUGUGCUGGUUAUUUAACCCCUUGACACUUAGGUGCUAAUGUGCAAAUGAGGGAACUUGGAUCUUGCUGCCAAGGGGUUAAAAUUGGGAACCUAAGUUGCUACUAAAUCAUAGUUCAAAACCUAAUAAUGUUGUCGUUGUUGCUAUCUGAUUUCAUAGCAGCAGUCACUAAAUUGGAAACAAAAGGUUGCAACGUGACAAAAAAAAUUGUGUAGUAUUUACCAGCACCAUUCAGUAAUACAGCCUUAACCAUACCUCCUUGAACUACUUCAUAACUUGUCAAGAAAAGCAGUUUGCAGCAAGGGCAUGUGGUGUGCACCUAGUAUUAAAAUUGCUUUGUCUUAAAAUUGAACAUGAGGAUAUUAAAAAUACAUUGUGAAGAAGACUGCUUAUCUCAGAGUGAAGAUACUGCGGCUGAAAAGCACUAGUUUGAUAUAAAAUUAAAAUGACCAAAACCCUCCAACUUUGAAGCUAAAGAAGGUAAACCUUUCCAUUAUUGCAUUACAUGUUGUGGAAUCUCUCGAGUGCAAAGACUGUCUAGUUAUUUAUCAGGCUAUUUCUACUGAUGAACUGCUUCAGGUGGGGGAGGGAAACUUAUUUUUAUUUGCCUGAUUUAAGUGUCUGAGAAACAAAUCUUUGUUCUCUUAGGCUGCAAUGGAACAACUUUACCAGGGUUUUGGCAUUUCCUUUCCUUUCCUUUAUAAAACAUGCUCAGCAAACUGCACCAGUUAACUACAGUUUGGUAAAUUGUUAUGUUAACAAUUAUGACAUCUGCAAUGUUUUAUAAAGCAACUAAUUUAAUAAAAUCACUGUUGUGAGGACU
rnacentral:lncRNA from 1 species